GACGAACGCUGGCGGCGUGCUUAAUACAUGCAAGUCGAACGGAAAGGCCCUGCUUUUGUGGGGUGCUCGAGUGGCGAAGGGGUGAGUAACACGUGUGUAACCUGCACCUGACUUUGGGAUAACUUUAGGAAACUCGGGCUAAUACCGGAUAGGAGCUCCUGAUGCAUGGGGGUGGUUGGAAAGUUUCGGCGGUUGGGGCUAGAUUGGAGGCUUACCAGCUUGUUGGUGGGGUAGGGGCUUACAAAGCGUUCGACGGGUAGCCGGCCUGAGAGGGUGAACGGCCACAUUGCGACUGAGGUACGGACCAGUCUGCUACGGGAGGCAGCAGUGGGGAAUCUUGCGCAGUGGGCGGGAGCCUGAUGCAGCGACGCCGCGUGCGUGAUGACGGCUUUCGGGUUGUGAACCGCUUUCUCCUGUGACGAAGCGUGCGUGACGGUACCGGGUAAAGAAGCACCGGCUAACUACGUG
rnacentral:rRNA from 1 species